AGUGAACGCUGGCGGCGUGCUUAACACAUGCAAGUCGAACGAGAACGGGUUAUAGCUUGCUAUAAUUGUCAGCUAAGUGGCGCACGGGUGAGUAAUGUAUAGGUAAUAUGCCUCUUACUAAGGGAUAACAAAUGGAAACGUUUGCUAAUACCUUAUACUCCUUUUAAACAGAAGUUUAAAAGGGAAAGAUUUAUUGGUAAGAGAUUAGCCUGUAUUGUAUCAAUUAGUUGUUGGGGUAAUGGCUUACCAAGACUAUGACACAUAAUUGGUUUGAGAGGAUGAUCAGUCACACUGGAACUGAGACACGGUCCAGACUCCUACGGGAGGCAGCAGUGGGGAAUAUUGCACAAUGGACGGAAGUCUGAUGCAGCAACGCCGCGUGGAGGAUGACACAUUUCGGUGCGUAAACUCCUUUUAUAUGAGAAGAUAAUGACGGUAUUAUAUGAAUAAGCACCGGCUAACUCCGUGCCAGCCGCCGCCGUAACAC
rnacentral:rRNA from 1 species